rnacentral:rRNA from 1 species
CCUACGGGUGGCAGCAGUGGGGAAUAUUGCACAAUGGGGGAAACCCUGAUGCAGCGACGCCGCGUGAGUGAAGAAGUAAUUAGUUAUGUAAAGCUCUAUCAGCAGGGAAGAAAAUGACGGUACCUGUGUAAGAAGCCCCGGCUAACUACGUGCCAGCAGCCGCGGUAAUACGUAGGGGGCAAGCGUUAUCCGGAUUUACUGGGUGUAAAGGGGGCGUAGGCGGCAGGGCAAGUCUGGAGUGAAAGGCGGGGGCUCAACCCCCGAACUGCUCUUGAAACUGUACGGCUGGAGUGCAGGAGAGGUAAGAGGAAUUCCUAGUGUAGCGGUGAAAUGCGUAGAUAUUAGGAGGAACACCAGUGGCGAAGGCGGCUUACUGGACUGUAACUGACGUUGAGGCUCGAAAGCGUGGGGAGCAAACAGGAUUAGAUACCCGGGUAGUC